AAAAAAUAGUAUAGACCACAGGACUCAUCUCACCAGCUUUCGCUUAUGCCAAUGAUGUCGUAGCUGUGGGACUGGGCCAAGACUUCUAGCUCAUCCAUUUUAUUCCUCAUACUGUGUGUGUUUGUGUAGAAGCUCUUCAAAUGAGCCUCCC